rnacentral:rRNA from 1 species
CAGGCCUAACACAUGCAAGUCGAACGGUAACAGGGAUUGCUUGCAAUCCGCUGACGAGUGGCGCACGGGUGCGUAACGCGUAUGGAACCUACCCUUUACUGGGGGAUAGCCCGGAGAAAUUCGGAUUAAUACCCCGUAGUAUUGCUUAGUGGCAUCACUUGAGCAAUUAAAGCUUCGGCGGUAGAGGAUGGCCAUGCGUCCUAUUAGCUUGAUGGUGAGGUAACGGCUCACCAUUGCUACGAUAGGUAGGGGCCCUGAGAGGGGGAUCCCCCACACUGGUACUGAGACACGGACCAGACUCCUACGGGAGGCAGCAG